rnacentral:rRNA from 1 species
GGUAAUGCCGGAUGCUCCAGUUGAUCGCAUGGUCUUCUGGGAAAGCUUUCGCGGUAUGGGAUGGGGUCGCGUCCUAUCAGCUUGACGGCGGGGUAACGGCCCACCGUGGCUUCGACGGGUAGCCGGCCUGAGAGGGCGACCGGCCACAUUGGGACUGAGAUACGGCCCAGACUCCUACGGGAGGCAGCAGUGGGGAAUAUUGCACAAUGGGCGCAAGCCUGAUGCAGCGACGCCGCGUGAGGGAUGGAGGCCUUCGGGUUGUAAACCUCUUUUAUCGGGGAGCAAGCGAGAGUGAGUUUACCCGUUGAAUAAGCACCGGCUAACUACGUGCCAGCAGCCGCGGUAAUACGUAGGGUGCAAGCGUUAUCCGGAAUUAUUGGGCGUAAAGGGCUCGUAGGCGGUUCGUCGCGUCCGGUGUGAAAGUCCAUCGCUUAACGGUGGAUCUGCGCCGGGUACGGGCGGGCUGGAGUGCGGUAGGGGAGACUGGAAUUCCCGGUGUAACGGUGGAAUGUGUAGAUAU